UACGGGGGGGGCAAGCGUUGUUCGGAAUUACUGGGCGUAAAGGGCGCGUAGGCGGCCUGCUAAGUCACACGUGAAAUCCCUCGGCUCAACCGGGGAACUGCGUGUGAUACUGGCGGGCUUGAAUUCGGGAGAGGGAUGUGGAAUUCAGGUGUAGCGGUGAAAUGCGUAGAUAUCUGGAGGAACACCGGUGGCGAAGGCGGCAUCCUGGACCGAGACUGACACUGAGGAGCGAAAGCCAGGGGAGCAAACGGG
rnacentral:rRNA from 1 species